GCGCAGCAGGCGCGAAAACUCCGCAAUACGCGAAAGCGUGACGGGGCUACCCCGAGUGCCGUCCGCUGAGGAUGACUUUUCCAUGCUGUAAGGAGGCGUGGGAAUAAGGAGAGGGCAAGUCUGGUGUCAGCCGCCGCGGUAAUACCAGCUCUCCGAGUGGUAGGGAUGAUUAUUGGGCUUAAAGCGUCCGUAGCCGGCUCAUCAAGUCUCCCGUUAAAUCCAACGAUUCAAUCGUUGGACUGCGGGAGAUACUGUUAAGCUAGGAGGCGGGAGAGGCCGACGGUAUUCCCGGAGUAGGGGUGAAAUCCUAUAAUCCCGGGAAGACCACCAGUGGCGAAGGCGGUCGGCUAGAACGCGCUCGACAGUGAGGGACGAAAGCUGGGGGAGCGAACCGGAUUAGAUACCCCCGUAGUCC
rnacentral:rRNA from 1 species